rnacentral:rRNA from 1 species
GACAGAGGGUGCAAACGUUUGUUCGGAAUUACUGGGCGUAAAGCGCGUGUAGGCAGCUCGGAAAGUCGGAUGUGAAAGCCCUGGGCUUAACCCAGGAAGAGCAUUCGAAACUUCCGAGCUUGAGUUCCGGGGAGGAAGGCGGAAUUCUCGGUGUAGAGGUGAAAUUCGUAGAUAUCGAGAGGAACACCGGUGGCGAAGGCGGCCUUCUGGACGGUGACUGACGCUGAGACGCGAAAGCGUGGGGAGCAAACAGG